rnacentral:rRNA from 1 species
GGAUCAAUAUGUCGGUCGUGCCUCGGUACGUACUGGCUUAUUGGUUUCUCCUUUCUGAAGAACCAUGAUGUCAUUUAUUUGGUGUCGUGGGAAAUCAGGACUGUUACUUUGGAAAAAAAUUAGAGUGUUUAAAGCAGGCUCACGCUUGAAUACAUUAGCAUGGAAUAAUGAAAUAGGACGUUUGAUUCUAUUUUGUUGGUUUCUAGGAUCGACGUAAUGAUU